rnacentral:rRNA from 1 species
UACGGAGGAUGCGAGCGUUAUCCGGAUUUAUUGGGUUUAAAGGGUGCGUAGGCGGGUUAUCAAGUCAACGGUAAAAUCGUGGAGCUCAACUCCAUCCAGCCGUUGAAACUGAUGAUCUUGAGUGGGCGAGAAGUAUGCGGAAUGCGUGGUGUAGCGGUGAAAUGCAUAGAUAUCAGGAGGAACACCGGCGGCGAAGGCGGCCUGCUGGACCGCGACUGACGUUGAGGCUCGAAAGCGUGGGGAGCGAACAGG